GUGGGGAAUAUUGGACAAUGGGCGAAAGCCUGAUCCAGCCAUGCCGCGUGUGUGAAGAAGGUCUUCGGAUUGUAAAGCACUUUAAGUUGGGAGGAAGGGCAGUAAGUUAAUACCUUGCUGUUUUGACGUUACCGACAGAAUAAGCACCGGCUAACUUCGUGCCAGCAGCCGCGGUAAUACGAAGGGUGCAAGCGUUAAUCGGAAUUACUGGGCGUAAAGCGCGCGUAGGUGGUUUUGUAAGUUGGAGGUGAAAUCCCCGGGAUCAACCUGGGAACUGACUCCAAAACUGCAUGACUAGAAUACGGUAGAGGGUAGUGGAAUUUCCUGUGUAGCGGUGAAAUGCGUAGAUAUAGGAAGGAACACCAGUGGCGAAGGCGACUACCUGGACUGAUACUGACACUGAGGUGCGAAAGCGUGGGGAGCAAACAGGAUUAGAUACCCGGGUAGUCC
rnacentral:rRNA from 1 species